AGAGUUUGAUCAUGGCUCAGGAUGAACGCUAGCUACAGGCUUAACACAUGCAAGUCGAGGGGAAACGACAUCGAAAGCUUUGCUUUUGAUGGGCGUCGACCGGCGCACGGGUGAGUAACGCGUAUCCAACCUGCCCACCACUUGGGGAUAACCUUGCGAAAGUAAGACUAAUACCCAAUGACGUCUCUAGAAGACAUCUGAAGGAGAUUAAAGAUUUAUCGGUGAUGGAUGGGGAUGCGUCUGAUUAGCUUGUUGGCGGGGUAACGGCCACCAAGGCGACGAUCAGUAGGGGUUCUGAGAGGAAGGUCCCCCANAUUGGAACUGAGACACGGUCCAAACGUCCUACGGGAGGCA
rnacentral:rRNA from 1 species